GAAACAUGGACUGAAAGAAUCAGAGUCCUCAGCAGAGCCAAGCUGGAAGGGUAGAUAGAAAGAAGAGGCAUGGAAGAUGUCCAAUGUCAUGGAAAAGCUGGCUGUGUAGGAUCAUUCUGGAGACAGCAACCCUAACUAAGACACCAGCUAUGUACAAACCCAAUGAGAAGUUCGAGGUGAAGCAUACAGAGCGUUAAGGUUGACGAAUAAGGCACUGUUUGGCUGAUAGAGGAAGGAAGAUAGGUGGAACUGGGAGAUGAUGAGAAUUCUGGGAGAGUUAAGCAGAGAGAGGCACCUCCAGGAAUGCCAUGUACCAAAGGAGUAACAGG